GAUGAACGCUGGCGGCGUGCCUAAUACAUGCAAGUCGAGCGAACAGAUGAGGAGCUUGCUCCUCUGACGUUAGCGGCGGAGGGGUGAGUAACACGUGGAUAACCUACCUAUAAGACUGGGAUAACUUCGGGAAACCGGAGCUAAUACCGGAUAAUAUAUUGAACCGCAUGGUUCAAUGGUGAAAGACGGUUUUGGGGUCUCUUCUAGAUGGUUCCGCGCGGCUUUGGCUAGUUGUUAAGUUAACGGGUUACCACGGCAAGCAUGCGUGGGCGACCGGAGGGGGUGAUAGGCGACAUUGGAACUGGGACAGGGACAAGGGUCCUGCGGGAGGCAGCAGUAGGGAAUCGUCCGCAACGGGCGAGAGCCUGACGGAGCAGCGCCGAGUGAGUGAUGACGGCCCUCGGAGCGUAAAAAUGUCUUAUUAGGGAAGAACCGAUGUCUACGUAAACAUGCACGUCUUGACGGUACCUAAUCAAAAAGCCACGGCUAACUACGUG
rnacentral:rRNA from 1 species